GCCCUCCCAGCACCUCUUUUCCUGUGUUUGUGUGUGUGUAAAUUGUGUGCAGGUACAUUGUACCCUGGAAUACACUGUGUGUGUGUGUGUGUGUAAAUUGUGUGCAGGUACAUUGUACCCUGGAAUACACUCUGUGUGUCUGUGUGUCUGUGUGUGUGUGUGUGUGUGUGUGUGUAAAUUGUGUGCAGGUACAUUGUACCCUGGAAUACACUCUGUGUGUGUGUGUGUGUGUGUGUGUGUGUGUGUGUUUGUGUGUGUGUAAAUUGUGUGCAGGUACGUUGUACCCUGGAAUACACACUCUGUGUGUGUGUGUGUCUGUGUGUGUGUCUGUGUGUGUGUGUGUCUGUGUGUGUGUGUGUGUGUCUCUGUGUGUGUGUGUGUGUGUGUGUGUAAAUUGUGUGCAGGUACAUUGUACCCUGAAAUACACAUUCUGUGUGUGUGUUCACAGGCUGUGUCACAGCGAAUGAGCCCGUGGCAGGGACAGUGCAGGGACCUGUGCAGGCUGCAGGCCGGUGUGACAGGAUGUGUGUGGGGUCUGUGUGUGCUGAGGCUCGUACCACAUCCAGACAGACACCAGGCAGGGCCAACCCCUGCUCCAUGGACUUGCUGGCACCAGGGACACGCGUGAGGCACAGGAGGUCGUGUCCCUGGAGCUGCUUCCUUGUUCCUGGCAGUGACAGCACAGGCCAGGGCUGGCUCUGCUGCCCCAGGGUUUCCCCCACGCAGCCUCUCCCUCCUCCCUGUGCUGACCCACGGGGCUGUGUGACCUUGGCACUGCCACCGAGUGCAACCUUCCCGAGUUUGGCCUGGGCUGUUUCUCAGUGACAUCAGCUCCCCUGCCUGCUUCAGAACUGGCAUUUGCUGCCACAGGUAUGACAGUGACAGCUACAGCCAAGGGCUUCCUCCUCUCUGAGAUGCUUGGAGCCACCUGAAUCCCUCAUGCUCAGCUCUUACCCCGCUGUGGAUAGGUUUUUUUAAAGCAAAGUCCAGGGGAGGCAUCACGACAGCAGAGCUGUUCUGGACCCUGUUAAACUAACACUAACUGCCACCAUGGUUAAUCUGUAGCAAGGUCGAACUCACAAAUCGGCAGGUUAGCUUCAGUUCCAGACUGAAAUUAGAUCAUCAAUUAGUUAAAUCAUCACUUUGAUACAGAAAGAAAACUGGAGAGGACCCAGUCCUCAUAAAUCCUGCGGAAGCCUCUGAGAAAGGGGCUCUGUAUUUUAUUUGGAAGAAUUUGAAUGAAGAAAUUCGGAUCCAAAACUUAUCACCCACUGCCUAAGGCAUAACCCCCAAGCUGAGCUGGGUGCUGCCGUGCCCAUUGUGUCCCCAGCAGACGUCACAGCUCAGCAUUAACCUCUGCUUCAAUAACCAGGGGUUGGAGGCUUCCCAUAUACCAGAAUUGACUGAUGACUAUUUCAAGUUUCUUAGGACUUUGAAACCCAAACCCCACUUUAAUUUUAUGAGUAAUUUUAUGGGACAAUCUUUAGGGCUGUGAAAGCUGGAAACUUCUCCUUCAGGUGCCUUGACCUUAUGGCUGCUCAACUACCCGUGCAAGAGCCCCUCUCCACUUUCAUCUGAUCACCCUUGAAUUCAGAGCUAUAAAAAGGAUGGGCUGUCUCCCAGCUAAUAAAAAUAGGAAAAAAGGGAGAGGCAAAGCCAAAGAUAAAGGUGUCGUGAGCCCUCCCCUCCUGCAGUCUGGGACGUCCUGGAGCAGGGACUGGUGUCUGAAUCAGCAAGCAGAUGGUGAAGUCCUUCAGGCACGGAGCUGCUGGCUGCUGGCUGCCCAGGGGCUCGCACUGCCUGCUCACUCCCAGGUGGGGUGGGAUGCAGAGCUUGCAGGGUGUGUGGUGCAGGGCUCCUGAGUCAGGGGGCAGCUUAACAGGGUCUUCAUCACUAUGGGAUACAUGUGGGCUAAAGGAAGACCGGGCUCCUGGCCUGAAUAACUCCUGAAUUGCCAAGCUCCAGCUCUGCUGGGGUCUCAGGGCCUCCUCCCAUGCAGUUAAGAGUGUGUGUCCAUGUGUUUCUCCAUGUACCUUCAAGGAGGGGACACUGAACGGGGAGAAAAUGCAGAUAUGCAAAUGGAAGCAGGGCAAGACUUGGCUCCAGCCACAAGGGAGGUUUAAUCUUUUUAAUCUUUUUAAUCUGUUCUUCAUCUUCCAGAAUUGUCCACACAUCAGGGUGCUCAAUUUAGUGCCAGGUGCAGGUUUACAGAAUGGGGGCUUGUCCCCCUCUGGCAGUCAUCAGGACCUGGCACAGGCACCUCUGGGUCUUGCUUGCUCCCAGAUAAUCAGUUCCAGCAUUACUUCCCCAUCUCUGGCAUCCAUGAGCAGACACAGACUGCAUUCCCCAGCCUUUGCUCAUUCUUUGCAGUUGACUCUGGCAUUACAUCCACCGACAAGUCACAUCCACUGGCAACUUCUCCUCCACUUCUCCAAGAAGGAACCUAAAAAUGCAAAUGCUCCCUUCGCCCCAAAUCUGCUCUCCACAGAGGGGCUCGGCAACGUCUCUGACAACAACCAGCAACGUGUCAUUUGUUUUUAUUACUCUAGGAGGGCAAGCUGCUGUGCGUGACCAAGGAAACCGAGAGCGGGCUGCCCUUGUGAACUUGCUGAGUGCCUGAUGGAGAUCGGGAGGAGAAGAGAGCUGGGGGAGUAGGAAAAACAUUACUUCUCUCCUGCUUGUUGGCCGAGGCAAGAUUGAUUGACUGUAUUGGCAAUAGCAUAGCACGCGUCAAGCAUUCUGGGAAAGGGCUCCCAGCCCUUUUUGCAGUGGGGGACUGAGACACAUGGUGGCUGCUGCCGCCAGCCUGCUGCUCAGCACGGAGGAGAAGACAUCUUCUGGGGGGCUGAGAGGGUCACAGCACUGCCUCCCUCCCUUUCUGGGUCGUGUUCUCUUGGGAGACCAGCCAGGAGAAAUGUGGUGGCUGGAAAGAUGGACGACUCCACCGUUUCAUUCUGCUUCAUGCAGAGCUACCAUUACCUCGCUCGAUAUUUUAUGGAAGGCUCGCCGGGCUGAGCCUGAAGGCUUCGAAAUCAUCGACAAUGUGCUAAUGUAAAGUUGCCUGAGCUUAUGGAAGAUUUUGAAGGCCUGGAUUCCAUGUGUUGAGACUGGCACCAUAUCAGAGGAACAGCUGAGUAUAUGGAGCAGGGAAGCUACGUAGUGCCCAGGAGAGAGGAGCUCCUGCCUGGAGGAGCUGCCUGGCCUGCUCAGAGGGAAAGAUACUGGGCCAAUGCCUUCAGCCACCACCUGGAAACCCCUUGGAGCCAGUGCUACAGGGAUGAAAUUUCCUUACCAGCUCCCAAGCUGCUCUGACGAAGAUCCCAGGAAUACCCUGAUCUGCAGGGAGGUCCUGCCCCACCACCAGAGGUUUCAUUCACCCAUGUGGAGCAGAAAUAAUUGUCCCUCAGCUACCCAGGCUCACUGCCUGCCCCAUUGCAGGAGGCACUAAAGCAGGAACAGCCAGGACAGAGCCCAGAACAGCUGGAUGGAUCUUGGUGGUGUCUGGAAGAGUUGGAACAAUCCAGGCUCCCAUCAUGGGUGGUGCUGGCUCACCAGGAUAGGCAAGGAGCUCACCAGGAUGGGCAAGGAGCCCACAAGGAUGGGCAGGGAGCCCACCAGGGUAGGAAGAGCUCACCAGGGUAGGAAGAGCUCACCAUUUCUGAAGCCACAUAUGAAGAAGCAGUGGUGGCUGGAGGGUGCCUGGGAAGGGAGGAGUGGGUCUGCAAGCAAGGGGGACAAGCUUUUGUGACAAGUUUUGAACUCUUGCAGACAUCACAAUCCCACCCAAACUUUUUUCUGGGAACUCUGGAAGACUCCAGAAUGGCACCAUGAUCAGCACAACUCUGCUGUUAGGGACAAGCUGAAGCUUUUGUCCUUCCUGGGUGAGUGAACAAGCUGAAAACUUUAGAUACAGCCACCAGCAUCCUUCCUUCUGGAGCAGGCCAUCCCUGGCCACCAAGCCAGGCUGCUCCUUCCCCAGAGCAGUUUGUGGAAUGAAUUUUCACACUGGCCCAACGCAAUUAGGCUAAAAGAGGUGCCUCACUCAUCCGAGCUCUUUGGGAAGACUCCUGGGCUGGGGCUUUUGCUGUCCUUAGAAGGGGCCACCAGGAUGUGUGAGUGGAAGUGAGAAAUGAGAUUUCCCGGGAAUAAUCCUCCUACAUGAAACUCAGUGGCAUCUGUGAAAAGGCUCGUGUGCACCAAGACAAUCCACGUGAGGGAGCGUAGGGAGGUGUCUGGAGUGAGACCGUGUCCUAUUAAUUUGCUCAGAACUCGUGAGGGUCAGGUUCAGUGGGGUGUUCAGGCUGAUCAGAGAGAGAGGCACGAUGGGCCUGGGUCACACAGCUGAGCUCAGCACAGUACAGAUCAUGUCACAAACAGAGGCAGAGCCCAACCUGAGCCACUCUCUGCACUGAGAGCUCCUGAAUUUGCUGCCACCUCCCAGGAACUGGGUUAUUUUGUGACAACCCAACGAGGACCUCUGCUCGAGGAGCCCAGCAGUGACCAGAAAGGUGAAUAAAAAUAAGAGACUUCACGGGAGAGACUGCAGAGAAGGAUGUCAGGAGUCUCACAAAGGCGUUAGGCAGGCGGGGGGUGUCGCGGUGACCUCGCCUGGAGCGCUGUGGGCAGGGCUGCACAUCCCACCUCACAAAUGACAGUCACAGGCACGGAUCUGGAGGAGGGCUGGGAAAAUAGCUCCAAGACUGGCAGACCCUGGGGCUUUUAUAUGCACAGGCUUGGGCCCAUUUGGCUUACAAAGCUCUGGAAGCCCUAACUCCAGCUGGUUGUUUCUGGGGUGACUGGAGCCAAAGGCUUGCUCCAGGGUUUGGGGAAGUCAGCUGGACUUUGUUUGUCUGAAUGUUCUGACCUGCAGUGACAUGGGCUGGUUAAAACCUGACCAGAGAUGCUCUGAAGUAGGAAACUCCCGCCUACAUCAGACCAGGAAGGUGUUCCCAGCUCCAUGCUGUGGGUCAGCAUUGUGCUGUCUGUAUUUCCUUUGGCAUCUGUUAACAAGCCACUGCUAAACAGCGAUAAUCCUCCUGCUGCAAAAGCCCAGGUCUGAGUGCUUGCUGCAGCAGGAUAAUGUCCCCAGCUAGAGAGUGUGUCUGGAGCCCAUGCAAUGGCCCACUUAAAUCCACGUGAGACUUGAGGGGUCCUGGCAAAGGAGCAACCUAAAUCAAAUUAGGAAUACAGGGGGAUGUUCCCAUGGGCCAGUGCCUCGGAGUGAGCCCACAGGACUCGAAACAAUGAUGCUUCCUUUGCCAUGGAACAGGAGAAACAGGUAAUCCAGAUUAGUUGCUAAAUGCCUCCAGGAGGUAGGAUUAGUAAAAAGAAGAGCCUGCAGCACUCAGCUGGCAGGAUCUCACCAGCAAAAGGGCAUGGCCAUAAGGGUGCCUCUGCAAGUGUCUGCCUGGUCUUAGUGGGAGAAUCAUGGGAAUGACCACGAGAAACUCUCCAAGGGCCACAGAAGUGAUGUUCAUGUGUACAGGAGAUGUCUGGGAGUCUGUACCACCUCGGCUCUCACUCCAAACACCAUGAUUAAAGCACUGAGCUUACUAA